GGAGAAGGGCUUGGGGGAGGGUACCCAGGCAGCAGCCCCUAGCCUCCUCUCCAGGGCCUGUCCUGCUGCUCUUUUCCACCCUCAGGUUUCUCACUUUACCAGGACGGCCUGUGUGACUUGUGGCCUCCGAGGGUCCUGCUCCCCUCCUCAUGGUCUCAGCGAAUAGCGGCCCUUAGGGCUGGCCCCUUACAUGUGUGAGUGCCCAGGGCUGAGGGUGGCUGGCCACCUGAGUCCUGACCUGCCUCUUCUCCUGCUGGCAGGUACACUUCUUCAGGCUGUGUCCUCUGUGCAGCCGAGAGUGCAGCCUGGUGCCCGGGCUUCGGGGGCCUGGCGGCCAAGAUGGGGGGCUUGUGUGGGAGUGCUCAGCAGGCCAUACCUUCUCCUGGGGACCCUCUUUGAGCCCUACACCUUCAGAGGCACCCAAGCCAGCCUCCCUUCCACAUACUACUCGGAGAAGUUGGUGUUCCGAGGCCACGAGUGGGCAGGAGCUUGCAGAUUUGGAAUCUGAGCAUGAUGAGAGGACUCAAGAGGCCAGGUUGCCCAGGAGGGUGGGACCCCCACCAGAGACCUUCCCACCUCCAGGAGAGGAAGAGGGUGAGGAAGAAGAGGACAAUGAUGAGGAUGAAGAGGAGAUGCUCAGUGAUGCCAGCUUAUGGACCUACAGCUCCUCCCCAGAUGAUGAGCCUGAUGCCCCCAGACUACUGCCUUCCCCUGUCACCUGCACACCUAAAGAGGGGGAGACACCACCAGCCCCUGCAGCACUCUCCAGUCCUCUUGCUGUGCCGGCCUUGUCAGCAUCCUCAUUGAGUUCCAGAGCUCCUCCACCUGCAGAAGUCAGGGUGCAGCCACAGCUCAGCAGGACCCCUCAAGCGGCCCAGCAGACUGAGGCCCUGGCCAGCACUGGGAGUCAGGCCCAGUCUGCUCCAACCCCGGCCUGGGAUGAGGACACUGCACAAAUUGGCCCCAAGAGAAUUAGGAAAGCUGCCAAAAGAGAGCUGAUGCCUUGUGACUUCCCUGGCUGUGGAAGGAUCUUCUCCAACCGGCAGUAUUU
rnacentral:lncRNA from 1 species